CGGGAACGGGAGCGGGAGCGGGGCCGGGGAGGCGGCGCUGGAGGCGGAGCUGCUGCGGCUGCUGCGGGGCCGGGACGGAGCGGAGAGCGGGCAGCGACCCCCGCGGGCAGAUGUGGGGGCCGCGCAGGCCCUGGCCCAGCUGUGCCUGCGGGACCCCCCGAGGAGGAGGAGGAGGAAGGGGAGGAAGAUCUGAGAACGAGGAGGAGCUGCUGGCAGAGCUGCAGGAGGUGCUGCAGGAGGGGCCCGGGAGCGCCGAGAGC